rnacentral:rRNA from 1 species
GACGAACGCUGGCGGCGUGCUUAACACAUGCAAGUCGAACGGAAAGGCCCUGCUUUUGUGGGGUGCUCGAGUGGCGAACGGGUGAGUAACACGUGAGUAACCUGCCCUUGACUUUGGGAUAACUUCAGGAAACUGGGGCUAAUACCGCAUAGGAGCUCCUGCUGCAUGGUGGGGGUUGGAAAGUUUCGGCGGUUGGGGAUGGACUCGCGGCUUAUCAGCUUGUUGGUGGGGUAGUGGCUUACCAAGGCUUUGACGGGUAGCCGGCCUGAGAGGGUGACCGGCCACAUUGGGACUGAGAGACGGCCCAGAAUCCUACGGGAGGCAGCAGUGGGGAAUAUUGCACAAUGGGCGGAAGCCUGAUGCAGCAACGCCGCGUGCGGGAUGACGGCCUUCGGGUUGUAAACCGCUUUCGCCUGUGACGAAGCGUGAGUGGCGGUAAUGGGUAAAGAAGCACCGGCUAACUACGUG